UGAAACUUUUUGCUAAUCGAAAUGUUAAACCAACCACCAAUCCAUGUACAUAGAUGCGCUACGUAAACAAAGUUGUUGAUUGAUGCAUCGUAAUGUCCGAGUGCUGCAUGCUGAGAGAUUAAAUACUGUUUAUACAGUCAUUGAGAGGCUAAACAAAGUUUCUUGCAAGAAGAGGAAGUUGGUGGAUGCAUUCAACUUGGACAACGAAAUCAUAGUUUCGUUUGGCAUCAGCCUGAAGACCGAGGGAGGUUAGAUAGGACCAGUGCAGGUUGAAGUGGAUUUCGAGUCAACAAGUAUAACAGCAAGAGAGGUACUCCAUUUACAGUGAUGAUGACAUAUCCCCUGGACCCCCACAACUCCACAAAUUUAAAAAUGUUUGAUCAAGUUCCGAAGAUUAAAGAACUACUGCAAAAUUUGGGACUGGAUGAAAAACAUUAAUUCACUUAUAUGAGCUCAGAGCAGUGGAUGUUAUACAACAUACUUUAAACUAAAUUGUGAAUUUAAGGGAAACAAGUACAUGUACUCGUAUAUUACAAGUACAUGCCUUUUGAAAGACAAUAAUAUUGCAUAGAUGUAAAGGAAAUUUCAAUGUUGAUUAUUCUUUCUUAGAUAUAUUAGUAAAAAAUGUGCACAUGAUAGAAUAUCAAUUUUAUAACUUCA